GGUUGUGGCUCAGUGGUAGAGCCCUUAUCUAGCAUGUGUGAGGCCCUGGGUUCAAUCAUCAGCACCA
rnacentral:tRNA from 1 species